AUUGAACGCUGGCGGCAGGCCUAACACAUGCAAGUCGAACGAGUGGCGGACGGGUGAGUAAUGUCUGGGAAACUGCCUGAUGGAGGGGGAUAACUACUGGAAACGGUAGCUACUACCGCAUACCAUCAGAUGUGCCCAGGUGGGAUUAGCUGGUUGGUGGGGUAACGCCUCACCAAGGCGACGAUCCCUAGCUGGUCGGAGAGGAUGACCAGCCAUACUGGAACGGAGACACGGUCCAGACGCCUACGGUAGGCAGCAGUUGGGAAGAUUGCACAAUGGGCGCAAGCCUGAUGCAGCCAUGCCGCGUGUAUGAAGAAGGCCUUCGGGUUGUAAAGUACUUUCAGCGGGGAGGCGUUACCCUCAGAAGAAGCACCGGCUAACUCCGUGCCAGCAGCCGCGGUAAUUC
rnacentral:rRNA from 1 species